UACGGAGGGGGCUAGCGUUGUUCGGAAUUACUGGGCGUAAAGCGCACGUAGGCGGCUUUGUAAAGUUAGAGGUGAAAGCCCGGAGCUCAACUCCGGAAUUGCCUUUAAGACUGCAUCGCUUGAAUCAUGGAGAGGUGAGUGGAAUUCCGAGUGUAGAGGUGAAAUUCGUAGAUAUUCGGAAGAACACCAGUGGCGAAGGCGACUCACUGGACAUGUAUUGACGCUGAGGUGCGAAAAGCGUGGGGGAGCAAACAGG
rnacentral:rRNA from 1 species